UUCCUGACAGUCCAGUGGUUAGGACUCCGCAUUCUCACUGCUGAGGGCCCCGGGUUCAAUCCCCAGUCAGGGAA
rnacentral:tRNA from 1 species